AGAGUUUGAUUCUGGCUCAGAACGAACGCUGGCGGCGUGGAUAAGACAUGCAAGUCGAACGAGAGAAUUGCUAGCUUGCUAAUAAUUCUCUAGUGGCGCACGGGUGAGUAACACGUGAGUAACCUGCCCCCGAGAGCGGGAUAGCCCUGGGAAACUGGGAUUAAUACCGCAUAGAAUCGCAAGAUUAAAGCAGCAAUGCGCUUGGGGAUGGGCUCGCGGCCUAUUAGUUAGUUGGUGAGGUAACGGCUCACCAAGGCGAUGACGGGUAGCCGGUCUGAGAGGAUGUCCGGCCACACUGGAACUGAGACACGGUCCAGACACCUACGGGUGGCAGCAGUCGAGAAUCAUUCACAAUGGGGGAAACCCUGAUGGUGCGACGCCGCGUGGGGGAAUGAAGGUCUUCGGAUUGUAAACCCCUGUCAUGUGGGAGCAAAUUAAAAAGAUAGUACCACAAGAGGAAGAGACGGCUAACUCUGUGCCAGCAGCCGCGGUAAUACAGAGGUCUCAAGCGUUGUUCGGAAUCACUGGGCGUAAAGCGUGCGUAGGCUGUUUCGUAAGUCGUGUGUGAAAGGCGCGGGCUCAACCCGCGGACGGCACAUGAUACUGCGAGACUAGAGUAAUGGAGGGGGAACCGGAAUUCUCGGUGUAGCAGUGAAAUGCGUAGAUAUCGAGAGGAACACUCGUGGCGAAGGCGGGUUCCUGGACAUUAACUGACGCUGAGGCACGAAGGCCAGGGGAGCGAAAGGGAUUAGAUACCCCUGUAGUCCUGGCAGUAAACGGUGCACGCUUGGUGUGCGGGGAAUCGACCCCCUGCGUGCCGGAGCUAACGCGUUAAGCGUGCCGCCUGGGGAGUACGGUCGCAAGAUUAAAACUCAAAGAAAUUGACGGGGACC
rnacentral:rRNA from 1 species